AGUGAACGCUGGCGGUAGGCCUAACACAUGCAAGUCGAACGGCAGCACAGUAAGAGCUUGCUCUUACGGGUGGCGAGUGGCGGACGGGUGAGGAAUACAUCGGAAUCUACUUUUUCGUGGGGGAUAACGUAGGGAAACUUACGCUAAUACCGCAUACGACCUACGGGUGAAAGCAGGGGAUCUUCGGACCUUGCGCGAUUGAAUGAGCCGAUGUCGGAUUAGCUAGUUGGCGGGGUAAAGGCCCACCAAGGCGACGAUCUGUAGCUGGUCUGAGAGGAUGAUCGGCCACACUGGAACUGAGACACGGUCCAGACUCCUACGGGAGGCAGCAGUGGGGAAUAUUGGACAAUGGGCGCAAGCCUGAUCCAGCCAUACCGCGUGGGUGAAGAAGGCCUUCGGGUUGUAAAGCCCUUUUGUUGGGAAAGAAAAGCAGCAGGUUAAUACCCCGCUGUUCUGACGGUACCCAAAGAAUAAGCACCGGCUAACUUCGUG
rnacentral:rRNA from 1 species